rnacentral:rRNA from 1 species
AUUCCAGCUCCAAUAGCGUAUAUUAAAGUUGUUGCAGUUAAAAAGCUCGUAGUUGAACCUUGGGCAAGACGCAUCAGGUCGGCCGCAAGGCCGGACUUGGUCGUCACGCCUCUGUUGGGGGACUCGUUGCUUCGGCGGCGAGGUAACCUACGUUACUGUGAAGAAAUUAGAGUGUUUAAAGCAGGCGAUCGCUUGAAUACAUCAGCAUGGAAUAACAAGAUAAGACAUUAGUCUUCUUGUUGGUUUGGAGACAAAUGUAAUGAUUAAUAGGGCCAGUUGGGGGCAUUAGUAUUCAGUAGUCAGAGGUGAAAUUCUUGGAUUUACUGAAGACUAACUAGUGCGAAAGCAUUUGCCAAGGAUGUUUUCAUUAAUCAAGAACGAAAGUUAGGGGAUCGAAGACGAUCAGAUACCGUCGUAGUCUUAACUAUAAACGAUGCCGACUAAGGAUCGGCAGAAGUCGUUAGCGACUCUGUCGGCACUUUGUGAGAAAUCAAAGUUUUUGGGUUCUGGGGGGAGUAUGGUCGCAAGGCUGAAACUUAAAGGAAUUGACGGAAGGGCACCACCAGGAGUGGAGCCUGCGGCUUAAUUUGACUCAACACGGGAAAACUCACCAGGUCCGGACAUAGUAAGGAUUGACAGAUUGAGAGCUCUUUCUUGAUUCUGUGGGUGGUGGUGCAUGGCCGUUCUUAGUUGGUGGAGUGAUUUGUCUGGUUAAUUCCGAUAACGAACGAGACCUUAACCUGCUAACUAGUUGCGAGUACGUGAGUAUUCGUGCACUUCUUAGAGGGACUGACUACGCUUAGUAGUCGGAAGUUUGAGGCAAUAA